ACACCUACCUAGCAGGGGAGAUGCCCUCACCUAGGUGGGGUUCCCAGGGCGAGGCUUGUCCAGUGCACUCCCGAUGUGCUGACCCCUGUGGUUUCCCCAAAUGCGGGAAACUUGACUGCAUAUUUGGUGGAAGUGGGGGAUUGCAUUUCUGCUCGCCCCUU
rnacentral:snRNA from 1 species